UACAACUUUCAGCAAUGGAUCUCUUGGCUCUCGCAUCGAUGAAGAACGCAGCGAAUCGCGGAUAUGUAAUGUGAAUUGCAGAUCUACAGUAAUCAUCGAUCUUGAACGCACCUGCGCUCUCCGUG
rnacentral:rRNA from 1 species